AUUUAAUAUUUUUAUUGUAAUCAGAGGUUAUUCGAGUAACACUUAAUUUUGUCGGAAACAAGCCUGAAAAUUUGUUGUAUUGGCUUAUUUUUAUACGAUCGCAAAAACGUGCGGCCUUAUUAUGGUAUGGCGCUGUGAGCGUAGUCGUCGUCCUAAGUCAUAUAGUUACAAUAUUUUGAAUACAAUUUUAUGGAUCUCUAGGAAAUUGUACCACAAGGUUCCGUAAAGGAAUUCAUUUAUGUAUGUUAUGGCCCAACCGUUUAAGAAUUUUUUGCAAACAAGGGGCUUAAAGUAAACAUUUUCUGGUCUCCGAACGAUAACUUGUCUAUUGAGUAUAAGUGUACUAUGGAUUUGUAUGAAAUUGUACCUCAAGGUACCAUAUACCACAAAAGUAAGGCUAGAUUGAAAUGUUGUUUUUUUUUGUAGUGUUCGCAUAGGAUUAAGGGCUAUACACAAUUGUAUAUAAUAAGCAUUUUUAAACUUUGUUUGAAUUGCCUUUUUGUGACCAAUUUAAAUGGGGUUCAAAUAAUCU
rnacentral:lncRNA from 1 species